UGUUGUAAUAUGCUUAUGACUUGCGAACGUAAUGCUCAGUUAACUUAAAUAAACAAGGCUUGAUGACGUAUGCAGCCUGCAUAUGCGACCUCCGCAGGCUGCAACCUUGAGAAACGGCCUAUGUUGUUGCUGAAACGAAACCGUCCCGUUAGCACACAUGUAAUUCCGGAGGUAAACAUAAUAUUCACUACAGUUGUGUGUGGAAAGUAUUUUGGCACAUCUUAUAGUUGUCAGAGGAAGCGAUUGGGGCACGUUUAAUGACAGUGUCUUCUGUUUCUGUCAAAGCCAGGAUCAUUUUAAAAAACAAACACCUGGUUGGGUUAUUUUUGACCCAGCAAUUGGUUUAUUAAUUCCCGCACUUUCUGGAUUCUUCGCUUCUGACUGGAUCACGCUACUCGGAGGUGGUAUUUCAUGUUAUGAGAAACAUGCCUCAUCGUUAAGUCGUAGUUGACCGAGCUAUAUCUGCAUUCUUUUGAAAUAUUCAGGUUCAGUAGAAUCCACUGAAUUGACCCCAACAGAUCAUAUCACCAUGGCAGUGGAACUUUUUUUAGCAUUUGCAGUUUGUCAGAUUUUAAAAAGCACCCCUGAGAGGAAAUCCGUAUUAAACCGUUAAGACUCCUUGUGAGACUCCUUGCAUCCCAUCUGCUGGAAACCAAUGGUGAAACGCCAUCAUCAGACACUAAGAAGGCCCGUGACAAGGCAUUGGUGUAUGAAUUUCCUUGCCUGAAGGAUAAUACAGCUGCUAAAGGGGAAACAGCACUGAAGAUGCCAACUCUGCUAGCUCCAUCCAUUUACAGGGGAGGAGGAAAAGUCUUCAGACCUACCACUGUGGAGGCCCAGAGGUCCUUUAUUGACAUGCAACCUGUGGGGACCAACAUGGUGGAAUAUCUUCAAAAUCAGAGAUGACUGGAGCACUGUUGCAUGUUUUGUGCCUUGGGGACGAGCCAAGAAGGACCUGCCAGACCUUUGCCAUUGUUGGAGGCAAUGCCUUUGAGACAGACUCUAUGGUGAAAGAUGUUGUUAAUUUUUUUGUCUUUGAUGUUAACUACACAAAGCAAUGUCUUCCCACCUGGGAGUUUCACCAGAAUGCCAUACAUCAGAUUGAUGGACAUGCCUCAUCUGUAAAAAUUUUGAGGACAACAUUUAAUCACUAAUAAUUAAAGAGCACCUAUUUCAUUGCUAUGUUUGAAAGAUUCGCCCACAAUGCAAUGCCAACAGGAGUUUACUUACAGGCUGUGAGUUCAAGCGGGAGGGAUUAUGAUAAUGUGGGUCUUGUCUACGUCACCAAUCCCGGGAAGUAAACUGUUGCCUACGAUCCGUGUGUUUGUUGUAGCCCAAGAAAAGAGAUCACUUGCAUCAUUGUUUACUUUGGGGUUUGUACCUUUUGCAUAUCGUUAACAUGAACUAAUACACAAUUACACACCAAAGGAAAUGUAAAAAUGUGAAUCGGACCAUAGCUGCUCUUUAAAAAAAAGUUUUGUUGCAGGGCUUCUUGUUUUUAAGAACAUUUUUGAUAAAUAAAAUGUAAAGUAAAUGAAAUGGUAAUCAUAAUAGUUUAAAUAUUAAGAGUUAUGAAGUCUGUGGGGAUUGUUUGAUGUCAUAUGGGGGUUGUAACUUUUGUAUUAUACAAAUAUACAAAAAUGUAAUUAAAACAUUGUAUUAAAUGUAAAAAAAAUUAAAUGCAAUUUAAAUCACAUUUACAGGGGCCUCUCA